rnacentral:rRNA from 1 species
UUUAUGGAGAGUUUGAUCCUGGCUCAGGACGAACGCUGGCGGCGUGCCUAAUACAUGCAAGUCGAGCGGACCUUAAGGAGCUUGCUCCUAAAGGUUAGCGGCGGACGGGUGAGUAACACGUGGGCAACCUGCCCUAUAGUUGGGGAUAACUCCGGGAAACCGGAGCUAAUA